UUGUCGUGUCCUGGUUGACACGCCCAGUAACCAGUUGGGCGAUCGGGAAUGACGGUGACGAGGGCGGAGUCGUUCAGAUCCAACGCACUACUUCUCAGGUCGACGAAACCUGUACGCUGUCUCUGAACCUGGGCUGGGGAAGGAGAACUCAGAACCUCCAUCAAGGGCUCCGAAGAUGAUUUGCCCAUCUUGAACGCCGAGAAUCUCCAGAGCAACAUCAAGUCAGUCUAUUACAGCAAAUUCAUGCAUGUGAUUGCAGCUUUCAGUCCUUUUGUGGAUGUAGGAAGAAGACCGGGAUGAGAACUUAUACAUGCAUAGUUUUUUUUUUUAAUAUAAUUUUUAAUCUGAAGUUUCCGUUGAUCGAUGGAGGCCUAGACGUUGAAUGCAUUCUUCUCAAUCAAUUUAUUAGAAACAUUGGAAGUUUGUUUACUCUGUUUCAGUUUGGUGGAAUUCUCCGGCCACUGGAUUUUAAAAUAAUCAUCGCCUUUUAUCUCCUUGCAUUGAUAGUUCUAUGCUAUUUUCUCUAUGCCUUGAUAAAUAGUGGGAAACCAGCAAGGAUUUGAUCAGGUGAUAUUUAUUCCUUUUAUAAUGGGAUAUUUUUCUCGGGCUGUUAAUAUAUCAUUGCGAGUUUAUAUAAGGUUUGUUUUCUACAUAGGAUUGUUCACUAUGUCAUCAGAUGUUUGAUAGAUUCAUUUGUUUUGCAGUCGAACCUUCUUGUCUAUCAUAGGUGGUGUGGUUGCGGGGAUAUGGGGAUUUACUGGCUUGGCAGGAUUUAUCUUCUAUUUCUUGGUCAUGGCAGCUGCUUCUUUGUGUCUGUCAGCCAAAGCAAAAUUUUCUGUCAACAAAUACUUUGAUUCUUGGAACAGGAUAUUGCUUGAUGGAGCUUUUGGUGGACUAAUGAUUGUGAUAACAAGGUCACUUUCAGUAAUGUGUAUCGUAGUAAAAGGUAAUUACGUUCACCCUUCACAGCCCACGAGGUUUUUCCCGCAGGGAUCCCGCUCGCACUUGAUGGUGGGUGAGCCACCUACCACCUUUGCCCUCCGGUGAGCUUUCUGCACAAAGGAAUGGGUGACACUGAGCCGGCACCGCCCUCGUCACUCACACUCAAUCACUUACCACCUCCGGCCCUUGGUGAGUGUUCCACACGAGGGAAUGACGACAAUGUUGAGCUGGCACCGCUCUUGUUGCUCGACGAUGGCGGUUUGAUUCCCGUUAAUUCCGGAAUCAAGGAAAACUUUACUUUUUCAAGGAAAUUGCAUUCUGGAUUGCAUGUUCCUUUUGUUAAUAUUUUUGGCAUGAAUUGUUACUCGUGAAUCGUUCAUUACCUAAAUCAAAUAAGAUUUUUAUUGAUAA